rnacentral:piRNA from 1 species
UUGAAAACAUAGUUUCAGAUA